AUGAACAGAAUGAAAAGAUGAAGUUUCUGCGGUUUGAGUGUGGUUCUUUUUUGUUUUGUUCUUGGUGUUUCGGUUCUUUUUUUUUUGUUUUUUGUUCCUUUUUUUUG
rnacentral:ribozyme from 1 species